rnacentral:rRNA from 1 species
UACAGAGGGUGCGAGCGUUAAUCGGAAUUACUGGGCGUAAAGCGCGCGUAGGCGGCUUUGCAAGUCGGGUGUGAAAUCCCCAGGCUUAACCCGGGAACUGCAUUCGAGACUGCAUUGCUAGAGUAUGGGAGAGGGAAGUGGAAUUUCCGGUGUAGCGGUGAAAUGCGUAGAUAUCGGAAGGAACAUCAGUGGCGAAAGCGACUUCCUGGACCAAUACUGACGCUCAUGUGCGAAAGCGUGGGGAGCAAACAGG